rnacentral:rRNA from 1 species
AGAGUUUGAUCCUGGCUCAGAUUGAACGCUGGCGGCAGGCCUAACACAUGCAAGUCGAACGGUAGCACAGAGAGCUUGCUCUCGGGUGACGAGUGGCGGACGGGUGAGUAAUGUCUGGGAAACUGCCUGAUGGAGGGGGAUAACUACUGGAAACGGUAGCUAAUACCGCAUAACGUCGCAAGACCAAAGAGGGGGACCUUCGGGCCUCUUGCCAUCAGAUGUGCCCAGAUGGGAUUAGCUAGUAGGUGGGGUAACGGCUCACCUAGGCGACGAUCCCUAGCUGGUCUGAGAGGAUGACCAGCCACACUGGAACUGAGACACGGUCCAGACUCCUACGGGAGGCAGCAGUGGGGAAUAUUGCACAAUGGGCGCAAGCCUGAUGCAGCCAUGCCGCGUGUAUGAAGAAGGCCUUCGGGUUGUAAAGUACUUUCAGCGGGGAGGAAGGUGUUGUGGUUAAUAACCGCAGCAAUUGACGUUACCCGCAGAAGAAGCACCGGCUAACUCCGUGCCAGCAGCCGCGGUAAU